UACGGGGGGAGCAAGCGUUGUUCGGAUUUACUGGGCGUAAAGGGCGCGUAGGCGGUCAGCACAAGUCAGUUGUGAAAUCUCCGAGCUUAACUCGGAAAGGUCAACUGAUACUGUGCGGCUAGAGUGCGGAAGGGGCAACUGGAAUUCUUGGUGUAGCGGUGAAAUGCGUAGAUAUCAAGAGGAACACCUGCGGCGAAGGCGGGUUGCUGGGCCGACACUGACGCUGAGGCGCGAAAGCCAGGGGAGCGAACGGG
rnacentral:rRNA from 1 species